UUAAUUGAAGAGUUUGAUCAUGGCUCAGAUUGAACGCUGGCGGCAGGCUUAACACAUGCAAGUCGAGCGGUAGCACAAGGGAGCUUGCUCCCCGGGUGACGAGCGGCGGACGGGUGAGUAAUGUCUGGGAAACUGCCUGAUGGAGGGGGAUAACUACUGGAAACGGUAGCUAAUACCGCAUAAUGUCGCAAGACCAAAGAGGGGGACCUUCGGGCCUCUU
rnacentral:rRNA from 1 species